GAGCAGCAUUUUUUAGGCUGUUUUCCAUCGUCUCCUUAUAUGGCUGUGAAUGUGCCAUGAACGAGCCUACACUUUCUGCCGUUUCUUCAAGGUGUCUGCAGCAUUGUGACGUAUUUGUAGGCAUAUCAUUGGAAGAUUGGCCAUAAGAGACUAUAUUUACCAGGGGUCCGCCCGGUGUCCUUUGUCUAAAUUGGUGCGUAAUCUCCAAGCUGCACGCAUUGAUCCAUUUGAUUGAGGGGAGAGAGGAGACUUCCACGAACUAUAUAUCAUCGAAGAGAUAUGUGAAAAACACCUUGAGGAUUGAUUCUAAACAACGUUUACCAUGUUUCAGUCGAUAUUAUGGAGUUAAUUUGGAAAAAAGUUCUGCGUUUUGAUGUCUGAAUUUUCGGGUUUUUUGGGUAGCCAAACGUGAUGUCCAAAAUGGAGCGAUUUCUCCUACACAAAGAAUCUUUUUGGACAAACUGAACAUUUGCUAUCUAACUGAGAGUCUCCUCAUUGAAAACAUCUGAAGUUCUUCAAAGAAAAACUGAACAUUUGCUAUCUAACUGAGAGUCUCCUCAUUGAAAACAUCUGAAGUUCUUCAAAGGACCCGAGCCCUAGGACCUGAGCUCCAGGACUACCUGACAUGAUGACUCCUUGCUGUCCCCAGUCCACCUGGCCAUGCUGCUGCUCCAGUUUCAACUUCCACCUGAC
ensembl:lncRNA